rnacentral:lncRNA from 1 species
UUCACGCCGGCGAGUACGGGUUUCAGAUGCCGUGGUUGGCCGGACACUGCCCUCCCCUCCCCGGGACCGCAGGAGGAAGUUGUAACAAGUGUUUUUAAAUCAGUGCUGCAACACUGCCGUUCGUACGCAACUCCUUCCCACACCGCCGCCUUAUCUCGGCCAGAUAAACCAGAUAAACUAAUGAAAACGGCACUGGCUAACCUCCCAAGGGGUAACGCUCACCAGGUGUGUCCUUCCUGUUGUAGAGCCUUCUCCCCGGGCUACACCAUCACCUUGCCUGAAAGGCCCAUGGGGCAGAUAGUGGCUUCCCUCCUUUCAUGGGUUCUCCUGCUGUCUUUGGUGAGCUGUGGCAGAUUCAUUAAAGAGUCUGUCUUAUGCUUUCUCUCUUCUCCUUUUCAUUAUUUUCCUGAUCUCUUUAGUUUGUAUUUUCUUGUAUUUUCAGGCUGGGACUUUGUCUUGGUUUCAGCUGAGAUAGAGUAUAAUUUUCUUUCUAGACGUUGCUGUGUUUUCGGAUUUGGUAUGAAAAGAAUGUCAGUGAUGCAUUGUUUUAGUUGUUGCUAA